rnacentral:lncRNA from 1 species
AGUGGUUUGGAGCUAUAUGUCUCUGAGUUAAGAAGUAAAUGGAACUCGAAUCUCAAAGCUGUCUGUCAGUGAGAAAAGGCAAUGACCACAAAAGGGGAGGAAAAUCUUAAACUCCACUGAAGUCAUUAGAAAUGAUGACUUGGCACCACUCUACACAUAACAAUCUCAUAGGCUCCCAGCCCCAGAAAACAAGGUGCCUAUAUUAG